GACGAACCGUGCAAACGUUGUUCGGAAUCACUGGGCUUAAAGGGCGCGUAGGCGGGCCGCAAAGUCCGGGGUGAAAUCCCCCCAGCUUAACUGGGGAAGUGCCUUGGAUACUGGCGGCCUCGAGGAGGGUAGGGGCAUCUGGAACGUUGGGUGGAGCGGUGAAAUGCGUUGAUAUCCAACGGAACUCCGGUGGCGAAAGCGAGGUGCUGGACCCUUUCUGACGCUGAGGCGCGAAAGCCAGGGGAGCAAACGGG
rnacentral:rRNA from 1 species